GCAGAGCUUCGAGAACAGUUGCGGACACUCUCCGAGAAGACAUCCCAAGAGAAAGAGGAACUGAGAGUAGCUCUGGACAAGGUCAAUGCAAGGUGCCAGGAGUUGGAGGCAGAAGUGAAAGAAUUACGUUCUCGCUUCUCAGACACAGGACUCCCCAUCGAAGAGCCUCGCAAGCAACUUCACCUCCAGGCAGCUUCCAGUGGAACAAACAGUGGAACAUGCAAGCGUCCUUCUGAACGUUCCGAAGAAAAACCUGCCAAGAAACGUCUGCCAGUGCCCAGAACGGCGUCAGAAACAAAUGAAGAUGGACGGACUAAGUUGCACAUAGCAGUGGAAAGAGAAGAAUUCCUGACAGUGAGGACACUGCUGGCCAGUGGUUACGACACUCGUGCACAGGACAAAAAAGGAAAUACGCCCCUUCACCUCGCUCUGGAGGGGUGGAGGAAGGACACGGCAG